GGACAAUAAUAUCAGUGUCAGUCCACCGCCAUGUCAAGAGCUGAAAUCAAAAUGCGAACACAAGGAAAUAGAUGAUCUUCAAGAAAAAGAAAGUCUUUGUGAACAACUGCAAAAGGCAAAAAACAAGAUAGAUCUCUUAAACUGUCAACUGGUGGAAAGGGACAGUGAAAUUGCACGUUUGAAACAGCAGCUGGUCCAACAUUCAGGUCAAAAUCAGAACCUUCCACAGAGUACAAAG